rnacentral:lncRNA from 1 species
GAUUAUGAUGAUUAUAACCUUGUAAAUAUGCUUAUUCACUAAGUAGAACUCAGUGCCCAGGUUGUUAGUUCUCUAAUGCGUAAUCGAUUGAACUUGAAGUAAGACCGCACCAUCUUUUGAAUUCAACGCUUGAUUUUCUUGUUCUUAGUCGAAACUCGCUUUGAUCUGAUGCCAUUCCCUAUCAAUUUGAACUUGAAUUUUGACUUAUAAUUA